CCCUUAGAUGUUCUGGGCUGCACGCGCGCUACACUGAUGCGCUCAACGAGUUUAUGACCUUGCCCGGAAGGGUUGGGUAAUCUUCUUAAAACGCAUCGUGAUGGGGAUAGAUUAUUGCAAUUAUUAAUCUUCAACGAGGAAUUCCUAGUAAGCGCGAGUCAUAAGCUCGCGUUGAUUACGUCCCUGCCCUUUGUACACACCGCCCGUCGCUACUACCGAUUGAACGGUUUAGUGAGGGCCUCGGAUUGGUCUCGGCCCGCUCUUUACCGGGCGGCGCCGUUGGUCGAGAAGACGCUCGAACUUGAUCGUUUAGAGGAAGUAAAAGUCGUAACA
rnacentral:rRNA from 1 species